CGCCACGCCGUCGACAGCCCCACCUCUGCAUGCUCCAGGCACGCCACCAGCCGCACCAUACCAGGCGCCGGUGGCACGGCACAAGAGCCGUACCAGGCGCAGACGGCACAAGAGCCGUACCAGGCGCAGACGGCACGUCCCAGGCGCCGGCAGCACGGCCGUCAACAUCCUUCACUCAUCUGCUGCAGCAGCUCCACGAAGAGUGGCGCCAUCCCAACCCCGCCAUUUCCGAGUAGAGCAGCACGCGUCCAGACCGCUAGCUGUUCAUCUGCUGCAGCGAGAUGGAUCGUAGUUGGGUGCAUGGCAGAUUGUUUUCCACUUAACACAUUGAUGGUGUCAAACAAUUCAUGAGCUUCAUUGAAGGAAAAUUCAGUGAGAAUGUUGAAAUUUUGUGCCCUUGUGGUAGAUGCCUUAAUCAGAAGUACCUUUGUCAGCCUGUUGUGAAGAAGCACAUUUUGAUGAAUGGCAUGGACAGUACUUAUACUCGGUGGAUUCAUCAUGGAGAGAGCAUCGGUGUAGAAGCUUUUCAGCAUCCUGUUGGUUUGCAUGACGGUCUGCAUGACUCUAGUGAUGGUUGCAGACAUGAAGAAGAUGACAGUGCAGAUCGUUUGGAAGGGCUUAUAGGAGACCUACACACUGCAGCAGAACAAGAAGGGCAGGAUGGAGAAAAUCAGAAUGGAGAAGAUCAGGAUGGUGAUGUAGAACCUCAUGAGGAGCCUUUCUUUAAAAUAGUGAUGAAAGAGGCAAAGCGUCAGCUGUAUCCUGGUUGUACCAAAAUUUUAAGGUUCUCUUUUGUGGUAAAACUUCUUCAUAUGAAGUCAUUAUACAGGAUAAACAAUUCUGCCUUUACUACAAUAUUGAAGCUAUUGUCUGAAGCAUUCCCUGAUUGCAAUACACUCCCCAAAUCCUAUAAUGAGGCAAAGAAUCUUUUAAAGGAAUUAGGUCUUGGAUAUGAAUCAAUACAUGUGUGCUACAAUAAUUGUGUGCUCUUCAGAAAGGGAUAUGCCAAGCAUGACAAUUGCCCUGUUUGUGGUCUAUCAAGAUGGAAAAAUCCUGAAAGAAAGAAAAUUCCACAAAAAGUGUUGAGGCAUUUUCCAUUGGUCCCUAGGCUAAAGAGGAUGUUUACGAUGAAAGAAGCUUCGGAAAACAUGCAAUGGCACAAGUUAAAGCGGCAGCCUAGUGAGAAGGAAAUGAGCCACCCAGUUGAUGGUGAGGCAUGACAAAAUUUUGACAAGGAAUAUCCAGAUUUUGCAAAAGAUCCAAGAAACCUUAGACUUGGCCUUGCAACUGAUGGGUUCAAUCCUUUUUCAAAAAAGAACACAAGAUAUAGCAUGUGGCAUGUAUUAGUUGUGCCUUACAACCUUCCACCUUUGGCAUGCUUGGAGGAGUCAAACUUCAUGAUGGCUUUGCUUAUUCCAGGUCCUACAUGCCCCGGGAAGGAUUUUGAUGUGUUUUUAGAGCCUCUUGUGGAAGAUUUGCUUGACCUUUGGGCAGGUGUGCGUACCUAUGAUGCUAAUUCUGGCAAAUUGUUUAAUCUUAUUGCUGCAGUUUUAUGGUACAUCCAUGAUUACCCAGCUUUGAGCACUCUUUCUGUGCGAACAACAAAACGCUACUUUGCUUGUACUCAUUGUGACAAACACCCUCUUUCGUACGGCCUAAGGAGAAAAAUUGGGUAUUUUGGACACUUUCGUUUCCUUUCCAAGGGGCAUCGUUUGCGGAGAAACAAUAAAUUUGCCGGUCUUCAUGAAAGCAAUGAUCCACCGGGUAAAUUCUCUAUAGAAGAGCUGCUAGCCGAAUUGAAGAAAGUUAAAGAUGUUAGACCCGGCAAGGCACAAAUAUGUGGGAAAAAGGAAGUGUUCUGACAAGGAAGGAGGGCAUGUGCUAAUUUGGUCCCGGAUGGUUAGUUUAUGGAAGUUGCCAUAUUGGAGUAAAUUGAAGCUAAGACAUAAUCUCGAUGUCAUGCACAUUGAGAAAAACAUAUGUGAGAGCUUGAUAGGAAUAAUCCUCAAUAUAAUUGGCAAGACUAAGGACACAGUUAAAGCUAGGCUUGAUCUAAAAGAUUUGGGAAUCAAAGAGGAGCUGCAAUUAAGAGAGGAUGGAGCUUCAUGUGAGAUGCAUCAUGCUCGAUAUACCUUGUCCGUAGGAAAGAAGAAGGCCUUCUGUGAUUUUAUAUGGGAGGUGAAGUUUCUAGAUGGAUUUGCUUCCAACAUCUCAAGGUGUGUAAAUGCUGAGGGAACCAAGGUACAAGGGCUAAAAACACAUGAUUGUCAUAUUCUUUUGCAAAGAAUAUUACCAGCUACAAUGAGAGGACUUUUGGACAAUGAUAUUUAUGAAGCAAUAGCAGAAUUAGGGAAAUUUUUCAGGGGGUUGUGCAGCAGAACUCUCAACAAAGAUUUGUUGGCUGAAAUGAAGAAAGAAAUCCCUGUAAUAUUGGUGAAGCUUGAGAAAAUAUUUCCCCCUGCUUUCUUUGAUGUGAUGGUGCACCUUCCUGUUCAUUUACCUGAUGAGGCAUUGCUCCGAGGACCUGUGCAAUAUGGGUAGAUGUACCCAAUUGAGAGGCGGUUGUAUACUUUGAAGCGCUAUGUGAGGAAUAGGGCACGACCAGAGGGUUCGAUUGCUGAGGCAUAUAUUGCUGAUGAAUGUCUAACAUUUUGUUCUAGAUACAUGGACGAUGUUGAUACCAGAUUUAAUCGAGAACAAAAAAAACACUGUUUUUUUUUCUAAUGAAGAAGCUUAUGGUGUUGACGUCUUUGGGCAUGGAGUUAAUUUUACUUCUGCACCUGAACUUGUUUAUGCUGAAGAUGACAUUGAUCAAAUGGUGUGGUAUGUGCUAAACAAUUGUAGUCAAGUGGAGAAUUAUGUGGAAAUGUUCAAAGAUGAAUUAAACAGAGAAGGGAUGCCUAUCAGAGCAAGAACCCUGCAGCAAGGAUUUCAGAUUUGGUUUAGGAACCAUGUUAGUGUUCAUAGGAACAGAGUUUGAAUGUUUUUUGUUUACCACAUAUUUUUCUCUGGAUUGUAAUAUAUGUGUAUUUCAUGUGGCAGAUCAUGAGGUUGUGAAAUGCAAAUAAAGAAGAGGUAGAUGAUCUUUUUUC